UACGAAGGGGGCUAGCGUUGUUCGGAUUUACUGGGCGUAAAGCGCACGUAGGCGGAUCGAUCAGUCAGGGGUGAAAUCCCAGAGCUCAACUCUGGAACUGCCUUUGAUACUGUCGAUCUGGAGUAGUGGAAGAGGUGAGUGGAAUUCCGAGUGUAGAGGUGAAAUUCGUAGAUAUUCGGAGGAACACCAGUGGCGAAGGCGGCUCACUGGUCCAUUACUGACGCUGAGGUGCGAAAGCGUGGGGAGCAAACAGG
rnacentral:rRNA from 1 species